CGCCUGCGGGCUGUGGAACUUGAGAAUUUCGUGGCCAACACGCUGCUGCUGAAAGCUCGCCAAGAACCCAUGCAAGGAAGAAGACGGGAGUGAAACAUUUAAAGUAUUGGAAGAAAAACCCACCAACCUAGAAUUCUGCAUCCUGUGAAAUUACCCUCCAAAAGAGAAGAAAUGAAGACUUUCUCAGACAAACCAAAACUGAGGGAAUUUGUUGCUAGUGGAUCUGCCUUGCAAGAAACUAAAAAAAGUUGUUCCUAGAGAAAGAAAAUUAGAUGUUCAGAAACUUUGAUCUACAUAAAGAAAGGAAGAGCAUCAGAGAAUAAAUACAUGAUGGCAUUUUAGAGACAUGCUUGGAAAAAGACCACUCUUGGGAGACAUGAGGGAAAUGGGCUGUCCGUGAGACGACAAGAUGAAGAGACUUGAAUGUGAGUAAAGCCACAAUGGACAAUGAAGUUAAGAGUAUGGAAGCAAAACGGCAUGAAAGAGCAGAGUAUCUGUUGGAACUACGUUUCUCCUGGACAGAAGUUACGAAGGCAAAGUUUUCAUUGACAUAGUUAAAUGGGAGUAGUGAAAACAAUGUACUGGAUUUUAAAUAAGAGCAAAUCUUAAACAAAACAAAAUGAAUCUAUGUAAUUAGCAGAUCAUCCUUUAAGAUUGUGCAUCCUACUUUUCCAUUGCAAUAGCCUUUCUUAGGAAGUAUUGAUGAAAAUAUACUUGGCCAAAUAAGGUACUUAUAAGGAAGUCUGUUAACUUCUCUCCCAUCCUCCUUUUUCAUUUUUCCGUUUGGUGAAAUACAAAAAAACCCCUGUGAUUUUAUCAUGGGAUGAAAAAGAACUGGGAGGCCCACUAGCAGUUUUUCCCUCUUUUGCUUUGAUCAUAUCUGGUAACUGCUGACGUUAGCUGUAGUGAGGAAGAAAAAUAGCCCUGGAUCUACUUAAGGAGCAAGCUGGGACCUAGAUAUACUGUUCCAGUAUAAUGAUUCUGGAUAAAUGCUGCUUUGUGUGCUGAGAGAGUGUUCUACAGGAUCAGUGGUCGCAUUGACUAACACCCUUAUCAAGAUUGUUGUGUUUGCUGGGUACCUGGGUGGCUCACCUGGUUGGGCAUCAGACUCUUGAUUUUGGC